GCCUCUGUAGAUCAACGGCAGAUCAUCUGAAAAGUAUUAACGGGAAAGCAAUCUUUCUUCAGGGGUUUUGGGUUCAAUUCCCACCGGAGGCA